rnacentral:rRNA from 1 species
UGGGGAAUAUUGGACAAUGGGCGCAAGCCUGAUCCAGCAAUGCCGCGUGAGUGAUGAAGGCCUUAGGGUUGUAAAGCUCUUUUACCCGGGAUGAUAAUGACAGUACCGGGAGAAUAAGCUCCGGCUAACUCCGUGCCAGCAGCCGCGGUAAUACGGAGGGAGCUAGCGUUGUUCGGAAUUACUGGGCGUAAAGCGCACGUAGGCGGCGCCGCAAGUCAGGGGUGAAAUCCCGGGGCUCAACCCCGGAACUGCCCUUGAAACUGCAGUGCUAGAAUCCUGGAGAGGCGAGUGGAAUUCCGAGUGUAGAGGUGAAAUUCGUAGAUAUUCGGAAGAACACCAGUGGCGAAGGCGACUCGCUGGACAGGUAUUGACGCUGAGGUGCGAAAGCGUGGGGAGCAA